CUUUGGAAGCGUGUGGCGUUUUUUUUUAACGAAAUGUCUUCCAAUACUUCAUCGCAGCAUCCAUACCACCUACAUUAGCAUUUAAAACCAUCAUUUACAUUUUCAUAUCCUUUUCAAAAUUUAAAGUAUGCUGUUUUUCACUUGAUCAAAAGUUUUUUUUUUGGUCGAUUUUUUUUUUUUUUUAAUCAAAAGUUCAAAACUGGCUUUUUCUUUUAUUUGUUUAUUUAUCUUUUUUGCCUACAAAGGGUAUGAGUGUGUAUGCUGUGUUUGGAGAAAGGAAAGGAUGAAAGUGUCGGGAAGGAAGACGGUUGUGGAAAAUGGUAGGGAAAAGCGUCGGUUCUGAGUUAAACUGGAAAUCAGAUCGAAAUAGGAAUGAACCAGCCAGCUUCGGGUGGUUAGUUCGCUCUCGGCCUCUCGUGCAGCACCACCAUGGUCUCACUAUCUUGUUGCCAUCCACCAUCCCAACCAUACCAUGCUUGAGAGCCAUUUCAGGCCGUUUCUCGCAGUUUGCUCUUAGGGUCGUCAGCGUGAGCUUCUCCUAACCCGGUCUUUAGUUUACCUGCACCCCUUCCUAUGACAAUGGUCAGGACAAUUUCCCAUCUUUCAUACCAUGAGAAUGCCGGAGUUGAUCAUCAUGGAACAUUAAUAGAGAUCCUAAGGAAAGCGUCCAAGACCUAUGCAGGUCAAGUUUCUUAAAUAUUAGCUGGAAUGGGAAAGUAGGAUGAUUGCUAAAUAGCUGGACAGAGCACAAGCAAUCCCACCUCAUAGAUUCAGCGCAAAAUAUUGGAUAUUUCUCACGACAACAAAGAAGGGAAAGCAAAUUUCAGUCCAGUCUCCCCCCUGCGUCCUCUAAGAGAGAACAGGGAACGGGUCCGUUAUUAUGGGACCAUUUCGGGCAAAAAACAAGAAGAUGAUGAUGAUGAAAAUCUCGGGCUUCUGAACAUCUUCAGCAGAGAUGUAUAACUAGAAUCAGUACCACCCCUUCUCUCUUCUUCCUCGUCUCGUUUUAAGCAGCUUGAGCCUUGGCAACCUCAAGCUUAGCGCCAACUGCGUCCCAGGAAACGAGCUUCUCCAUGAAGAUUGAUAUGUAAUCAGGCCGUCGGUUCUGCAAGAACUCAUAGGAAAGAGAUGGUUAAGAAGUUAGACUACCCUUGACCGUCUGUAUCAGAUUUUGCAGCAUGAAUUUCUGCAUUGGGGAGCAACUGCGAAGGAACCUAACCUGAUAGUCAAGGUAGUAUGCAUGCUGCAACCCAAAUAAAAGUUUCAAAGAGUUAGUAACUUCAUAGAUAUGCUGUCUCUUUGGCAAGAAUUUGAGAGACGGAGCUCAAGGA